UCUCCGUUGGUGAACCAGCGGAGGGAUCAUUACAGGACUCGCAAGACUCCUUCACCCUGUGAACCUCACUACAAGCACGUUGCUUCGGCGGGUGUCCCGGCGGGGGUUUUCCCUCGCCGGGGCGCACAGCCCGCCGGCAGCCUACUAUACUCUGUCUCUUUGCGUUGGCAUCUCGAGAAAGAACAAACAAGUUAAAACUUUCAACAACGGAUCUCUUGGUUCUG
rnacentral:misc_RNA from 1 species